UACGAAGGGGACUAGCGUUGUCCGGAUUUAUUGGGCGUAAAGAGCUCGUAGGCGGCUCGUCGCGUCGACCGUGAAAACUUGGGGCUUAACCCUAAGCUUGCGGUUGAUACGGGCGGGCUAGAGUUCGGUAGGGGAGACUGGAAUUCCUGGUGUAGCGGUGAAAUGCGCAGAUAUCAGGAGGAACACCGGUGGCGAAGGCGGGUCUCUGGGCCGAUACUGACGCUGAGGAGCGAAAGCGUGGGGAGCGAACAGG
rnacentral:rRNA from 1 species